rnacentral:rRNA from 1 species
AGAGUUUGAUCAUGGCUCAGGAAGAACGCUGGCGGCGUGCCUUAAGCAUGCAAGUCGAACGGCGUUUGUUCCGCAAGGAACAAACGCAGUGGCGGACGGGUGAGUACAAGCAAGGAACGUACCCUUUACUGUGGGACAGCUCGUCGAAAGACGGGGUAAUACCGCAUGAGGUCGCAAGAUCAAAGGUGCAAACCGGUAAAGGAGCGGCCUUGCUCCUAUCAGCUUGUUGGUGAGGUAACGGCUCACCAAGGCUAUGACGGGUAGGGGGCGUGAGAGCGCGACCCCCCACAAUGGCACUGAGACACGGGCCAUACAUCUACGGAUGGCAGCAACUGGGAAUCGUUGGCAAUGGACGAAAGUCUGACCACGCGACGCCGCGUGAGGGAUGAAGCCUCUCGGGGUGUAAACCUCUUUUGCCAUGGCAUGAAGCUGUGGCGAAUAAGCACCUACUAACUACGUGCCAGCAGUCGCGGUAAUACGUAGGGUGCAAGCGUUAUCCGGAUUCACUGGGCGUAAAGUGUAGUGUAGGCGGUUUGUCGCAUCGUGCUUGAAAGCCCGAGGCUUAACCUCGGCGUUGGGCACGAGAUGGAUGAACUCGAGGGAGAUAGAGGAAAGGGGAACUGAUGGUGAAGCAGUGAAAUGCGUUGAUAUCAUCAGGAACACCAAAGGCGAAAGCACCUCUCUGGGUCUCUCCUGACGCUGAGACACGAAAGCUAGGGGAGCGAAGCAGAUUAGAGACCCUGCGUAGUCCUAGCCCUAAACGCAUGCCUGCUAUUUGCCCUGCGCAAGUGGGGUGACGUAAGCUAACCACGUUAACCAGGCCGCCUGGGGGAGUACUAUCGCAAGAUUAAACCUCAAAUGAAUUGACGG